UGGAGAGUUUGAUCCUGGCUCAGAUUGAACGCUGGCGGCAGGCCUAACACAUGCAAGUCGAGCGGCAGCGGAAAGUAGCUUGCUACUUUGCCGGCGAGCGGCGGACGGGUGAGUAAUGUCUGGGAAACUGCCUGAUGGAGGGGGAUAACUACUGGAAACGGUAGCUAAUACCGCAUGACCUCGAAAGAGCAAAGUGGGGGAUCUUCGGACCUCACGCCAUCGGAUGUGCCCAGAUGGGAUUAGCUAGUAGGUGAGGUAAUGGCUCACCUAGGCGACGAUCCCUAGCUGGUCUGAGAGGAUGACCAGCCACACUGGAACUGAGACACGGUCCAGACUCCUACGGGAGGCAGCAGUGGGGAAUAUUGCACAAUGGGCGCAAGCCUGAUGCAGCCAUGCCGCGUGUGUGAAGAAGGCCUUAGGGUUGUAAAGCACUUUCAGCGAGGAGGAAGGCAUCAYACUUAAUACGUGUGGUGAUUGACGUUACUCGCAGAAGAAGCACCGGCUAACUCCGUGCCAGCAGCCGCGGUA
rnacentral:rRNA from 4 species